rnacentral:rRNA from 1 species
GUAAACCAUAGCGAGCAAACCGUGGCGGCGUCGCAAGGCAUCGUCGCGGUUAAUAAGGAUAACCCUGGUAAUUCUGAGGCUAAUACAAGAACGUACAACCCGCCCAACCCGCAAGGGGAGGGGGGGGAAUGUGUGACCAGGCACGCAAAUUUGAAACUGGGAGUGGCCACACGUUCAGACCGUCAUACCAAACAGUUGUUCGCUUCGAAAGUCCUCGUGACGAGUAGUGGCGGGUUUCUGGGCGGCUCUCGCUGUGUGCUUCUGACCUAUCAACUAGAUGGCAGCGUAACGGACAUGCUAUGGU